rnacentral:rRNA from 1 species
GACGAGCGCUGGCGGCGUGCUUAACACAUGCAAGUCGAACGGAAAGGCCCUGCUUUUGUGGGUUGCUCGAUUGGCGAACGGGUGAGUAACACGUGAGUAACCUGCCCUUGACUUUGGGAUAACUUCAGGAAACUGGGGCUAAUACCGGAUAGGAGCUCCUGCUGCAUGGUGGGGGUUGGAAAGUUUCGGCGGUUGGGGAUGGACUCGCGGCUUAUCAGCUUGUUUGUGGGGUAGUGGCUUACCAAGGCUUUGACGGGUAGCCGGCCUGAGAGGGUGACCGGCCACAUUGGGACUGAGAUACGGACCAGACUCCUACGGGAGGCAGCAGUGGGGAAUAUUGCACAAUGGGCGGAAGCCUGAUGCAGCAGCGCCGCGUGCGGGAUGCCGGCCUUCGGGUUGUAAACCGCUUUCGCAUGUGACGAAGCGUGAGUGACGGUAAUGGGUAAAGAAGCACCGGCUAACUACGUG